rnacentral:tRNA from 2 species
GAGCGGUGGCCGAGUGGUCGAAGGCGCUCGCCUGGAAAGUGAGUAUACGCCAAAAGCGUAUCGAGGGUUCGAAUCCCUCCCGCUCC